rnacentral:rRNA from 1 species
GAAUAUUGGGCACUGGGCGCAAGCCUGCCCCAGCAACGCCGCGUGAGGGAAGAAGGCCUUCGGCUUGUAAACCUCUGUCCUUAGGGAAGAAGAAAGUGACGGAAGCUAAGGAUGAAGCUCCGUCUAACCACGUGCAAGCAGCCGCGGUAAGACGCAGGGAGCGAGCGUUGUCCGGAAUUACUGGGCGUAAAGGGUGCGUAGGCGGCUACGUAAGGCAGAUGUGAAAUCCCCGGGCUUAACUCGGGGGGUGCAUUUGAAACUGCGUGGCUUGAGUGCAGGAGAGGAAAGUGGAAUUCCUAGUGUAGCGGUGGAAUGCGUAGAUAUUAGGAGGAACACCAGUGGCGAAGGCGACUUUCUGGACUGUAACUGACGCUGAGGCACGAAAGCGUGGGGAGCAAACA